rnacentral:ncRNA from 1 species
CAAAAGCUUGGUCCUGACUUUACUAUCAACUUUGGUUAAAUUUAUACAUGCAAGUAUCCGCAUCCCUGUGAGAAUGCCCUGUAUAUUCCUCCCCUUGGAAAAAAAGGAGCAGGUAUUAGGCACAACCCUACGUUUGCCCAUGACACCUUGCUCGGCCACACCCCCACGGGAUUUCAGCAGUAAUAAACAUUAAGCAAUAAGUGCAAACUUGACUUAGUUAAAACCAAGAGGGCCGGUAAAACUCGUGCCAGCCACCGCGGUUAUACGAGAGGCCCAAGUUGACAAACACCGGCAUAAAAUGUGGUAAAUGCAACCACCUUACUAAAGUCAAACAUCUUCAAAACUGUCAUACGCAAUUGAAGACAGGAAGCCCGCCUACGAAAGUGACUUUAAAAAUAUUUACCCCACGAAAGCUAGGAAACAAACUGGGAUUAGAUACCCCAUUAUGCCUAGCCCUAAACACAAGUGAGUCAUUAUAUCUCUUGCUUGCCAGGGAACUACGAGCCCCAGCUUAAAACCCAAAGGACUUGGCGGUGCUUUAGACCCCCCUAGAGGAGCCUGUUCUAGAACCGAUAAUCCCCGUUUAACCUCACCCUCUCUUGUUUUUCCCGCCUAUAUACCGCCGUCGUCAGCUUACCCUCUGAGGGACUAAUAGUAAGCAUAAUUGGUAAAACCUAAAACGCCAGGUCGAGGUGUAGCAUAUGAGAGGGGAAGAAAUGGGCUACAUUCACUGACCCAGUGAACACGAACAACAUCUUGAAACAAAUGUUUGAAGGAGGAUUUAGCAGUAAGGAGGGAAAUAGAGCGUCCCCCUGAAACUGGCCCUGAAGCGCGCACACACCGCCCGUCACUCUCCCCGAAUAAAAUUAGAUCAAUUAAAUAAACAAAAUUUACCUUUAAGGGGAGGCAAGUCGUAACAUGGUAAGUGUACCGGAAGGUGCACUUGGAAAAAC